rnacentral:lncRNA from 1 species
UAACUAUACAACUAACGCCUGUUAGCACAAGCGUAGAACAUAAAAUAGCUUGUUUAUCCUCUUGGCAAUAAAUUAAAACAGCGAACCCCAGUUUCUAGUUUUGCGUGUUUCGCUCGAAGAAAAAAUGUAAAUGAAAGUGAAAGCUCAGCCCAUUGCAUGAAUAGCUACUAUAUUAUUGGAAUCUGGAAAUUCUGGCUCACAUAUUGUUUGCCUUCAACCUUCGAAAAUUUAAACUGAAGAGUGGAGCGAUGUGGAAACCUAAGUAGCAGCAAUUUGUUUUCUGCUAACCUCCCUCUCAGAUAUCACUUCCUUCACCAACAAAAUAGAUGUGCACCCACAGGAUAAAAAUCCAUGUGUGUAGACCUAGCAAUGCAUGUGUGAGCUCAGAGUGUCGUUUUUUCGGCAAGGACAUGAAAGGUAACCCUUAACUAACCCUUGACAUCUGGCAGAAUUAAACACUACCUGCUUAUGUGCCCUCACCAACACGCUUCAUAUUGAUUUAGGAUGGUCUUGUCUAAAGCUAAAUUGUCUUCAUGUUCAUGCUGCAAU